UAGGAUGUAGUCCCGCCUCGGCGGGACGCCACGUUCGGGACGUGGAGGUCGCGAGUUCGAAUCUCGCCAUCCCGA
rnacentral:tRNA from 1 species